GCCAUCGCGAAGUGGGAUCUGAAGAAAGUUUGAGGCAAAACUUCGGUCUGAGGAACACGAACUGUAUAAAAGGCAUAAUCCUGUGGGUGAGUUUGCCAUACAAAAAAGCCCAAAACUAUUCAAGACAGGAAGUGUAAAUACAGCAAAUAGAUUAAGUGAAGCAAGAUUAUUUU
rnacentral:ncRNA from 1 species